rnacentral:lncRNA from 1 species
CGCAUUGGCCUCCCAAAGGGCUGGGAUUACAGGCAGGAGUCACAGCGUCCGGCCUGCUUCAUUCAAAAUUAGAAUUAGCGUUUGUGCAAUUGAUCUUUCAAGUAAGAUUGAUCAUUUGCUGCAUGUUUGAAAGACAGCAUUUUGUAUGUAAGCAUGACACUUUGGACUGGUAGGUAACCUAUACAGAGAUUGGAUUUUCAGAUAUGUAGACUGGAUUUUCAGAAAUAAUUUUACCAAAUUUCAUGUUUUCAAACUUACUCAGGUUACGUGUAUAGCAGCUUGUUUAACUGCGCAAGAAAGCCGUGCGCGCCUGUUUUUGCAGCUGCUGGGGAAGACUGAAACAGGAAAAUCCCCUGAGGCCAGAAGUUCGAUAACUACUGUACCCCAGCCUGGGCAACAAAGCAAGACUUUGUCUCUGGGGGGAAAAAAAAAGAAAAAAGACACCAUAGUGGCAUCAUUAGUGCCAAACCCUUAAAGGCAGGAGCUAGUUUACGUUAUUUACCUUUUAAUCUGUAGAGCAUUUUUAAGUUUUAUUUCAGUCGUGUCACCAAGCAUACUAGGAAAGGACAUACUGAAUGAGAUCAUCCAAAGGGGUGUGGAGUAUGUAGAUAAGCGCAGUGACUGCUGGCUAUUUGCACCCUAGGCUUAUAUUUCUUAAGAUUUUGAAUAGCCAGAUAUUAAAAAUACAGGUGCUGGGUUAUUGUAGUUUGGAAAAUAUCUUUAUUCCAGAAAUUAGGGGGUCUAAAGAGCACAUGAGAAAAAUGAUCCUAUAUUUAGAGUGGUUUGAAUCUAAGGGUGAACUCUCAGGCAGCGCUGGGGACUCAUACUUAACUGGCAAGGGAAAUAACAUGAUCAUUAAAGGUGGAUUUUUCAGGGUGAGGUUUGUCUCUUGCAUUGUGGAUGUGCUGACCCCUGUGGUUUUCUACAAAUGUGGGAAACUUAAUUGCAUAAUUUGUGGUAGUGGGGACUAUGUUGGUUCUCUCCCCUGAUCUGGCUUGUUUAUAAAAGGCGUACGUUGUAUCUUUGCUUCGUAGGUUUUCCUGUGUUAUAUUGUAACCUCCUGUUUUGGAAUAGCGAGAGAUUGAUGCCUUCUAAUGGUCAUUUUUUUCUCCACACACGCUUUUGGUCUCACACCCCUCGUGGUUGGUGUUGUCAUUGAGUACUACAGUGAUUUGCCAUUACAAUCAGAAGUACGCAGUUGAAUACCUUUGGCGGCUCUAAGGGAGUGUUACCUUCACAUUUUCCUUGUUUGUAGCCCUUUCCUUUUCAAAGCUAACAAUUUAGCAUCUUCUGACUUUUCUUCUGUCUUUAUAUCUUUUUGUGGACCUCCAGAGUCCUUCUGUUUUUUUUCUUUUCUUGGAGACGGCGUUUCGCUCUUGUAGCCCAGGCUGGAGUACAAUGGCGCAAUCUCAGCUCACAGC